rnacentral:rRNA from 1 species
UACGUAGGGGGCGAGCGUUGUCCGGAAUUACUGGGCGUAAAGGGCGCGCAGGCGGCCGUGUAAGUCCGCUGUGAAAGACCGGGGCUCAACCCCGGGGUGUCAGCGGGGACUGCACGGCUGGAGUCCCGGAGGGGGAGGCGGAAUACCUGGUGUAGCGGUGGAAUGCGUAGAGAUCAGGUGGAAGGCCGGUGGCGAAGGCGGCGCUCUGGAACAUUUCUGACGCUGAGGCUCGAAAGCGUGGGGAGCAAACAGG